GACGAACGCUGGCGGCGUGCUUAACACAUGCAAGUCGAGCGGUAAGGCCCUUCGGGGUACACGAGCGGCGAACGGGUGAGUAACACGUGGGUGAUCUGCCUCGCACUUCGGGAUAAGCCUGGGAAACUGGGUCUAAUACCGGAUAUGACUUCUGGUCGCAUGGCUGGGGGUGGAAAGAUUUAUCGGUGCGAGAUGGGCCCGCGGCCUAUCAGCUUGUUGGUGGGGUAAUGGCCUACCAAGGCGACGACGGGUAGCCGGCCUGAGAGGGCGACCGGCCACACUGGGACUGAGACACGGCCCAGACUCCUACGGGAGGCAGCAGUGGGGAAUAUUGCACAAUGGGCGAAAGCCUGAUGCAGCGACGCCGCGUGAGGGAUGACGGCCUUCGGGUUGUAAACCUCUUUCGACAGGGACGAAGCGCAAGUGACGGUACCUGUAGAAGAAGCACCGGCCAACUACGUG
rnacentral:rRNA from 1 species